GAGGACGCUUCCAAAGGUGAAAGGCCAUGGGAGAUAUCUUCCAUGAUCCAUGGAUCAAAGAUCCUAUUUGUCCAGAGUUCGAUCGAUCUAGCCAUGCGCAGGUUGAAGAGAACUCUAAUAGGCCUUGAAGGACCGAAGCUUGACCAACCCCAAGGAAACUUUGAAUACACGCUUAAUCAAUCGUAAAGACAUAUGAAGGGUGUGGUCAUCUAGAGUCGUGAGGGAAACAACCCAGAUCGUAUGCUAAAGUCGCUAAGCAAUCACUUAUUAGAAAAGGAAGUGAUCGAGUGAUGACAACCAUGAGGUGGGCUUGGAAGCAACCAUCCUUCGAAGAAAGUGUAAUAACUCAUUGGUUUAGCUCCAUGGCAUUGAAAAUGUAUCGGGGCUUAAGUGAUUCACUGAAGUGAUGAGACCUUGGAAGCAUUAAGGAGGCUCUAAAGACCCAAGGAGGGUGAGUAAGUGAGGUGCCAACCAAGUGUUAGUGGCGAGACGUUCUGUCAAUCGGGGAAGGGACAACACCUGGAGAUAUAAGAAGUGAGAAUGCUAACAUGAGUAACGAUGAAUCAUGUGAAAAACACGAUUGCAUGUCAGUUUCAAGGUUUUUGCAUUCAAUCAAUCUACGUAGAGUGAAUCGGUCCCUAAGGAACCCUCGAAAGUGAUUUUGUCCGAUGGGUACAUGAAAGUGACGAAGUUGCCCCGACUAUUGAACCAUGCGUGUUUGUUGAAGUGAAUUGGAUGAGUU
rnacentral:ncRNA from 1 species